rnacentral:lncRNA from 1 species
CUCAUAACCCAUGAGGAAUGGGAGCCGACAGACAGACUCAUCCCCAGGACAGGUGGUUCUCACUACAUCUCAGAAAGCUUCUUAGAAGAUCUUACAGGAUCGUGCAACCAGCCAGCCACAGCAGGGGCCGACUGGAUAACAUGUCUUUGCACAGGCUCUCCCUCUGUCCCUGUCACCCUCCCCUUUUCCUAACCUUGUUCCUUGGGAUUAUGUUUUGAAAUAAGUUAUUCAGAGAAAUGAAGCUAAAGCUGACCCAUUAGCCAAUAGCUAGGUUCUGUGAUGACAGGGCUUCUGGGCUAUAAUCGUUUACUGAGAAGCCAGCGUUCCCGAGGGGAUAAUGGCUCGUUCCAUUCAGCUGCAGCAUAGGAGUGAGGGCAGGGCAUUAGCAGAAGAUAACACCAGAAACGUGCUCUGGGGCCUGUUUAUGACUUUCUAUGCCAAGCGUAGAUAUUUAGCCUUUAUUCUGUAGGUGAUGGGAAGCCAGUGCCAGUGGUGGGUUUGAGCAGGGAACCAGCAACCAGUGGUGGGUUUGAGCAGGGAACCAGCAAUACUCAAGCUCUGCUAGGAUGGAGGCCAGUCAGGGAGGAGUUAGGGCAGGAGGACCGGUCAGGGAGGAGACUCAGGGCAGGAGGACAGGUCAGGGAGGAGACUUAGGGCAGGAGGACCAGUCAGGGAGGAGUUAGGGCUAGAGGACUGGUCAGGGAGGAGUUAGGGCAGGGGGACCGGUCAGGGAGGAGUUAGGGCAGGAGGACAGGUCAGGGAGGAGUUAGGGCAUGGGGAUUGGUCAGGGAGGAGUUACGGCAGGAGGACAGGUCAGGGAGGAGUUAGGGCAGGGGGACUGGUCAGGGAGGAGUUAGGGCAGGAGGACA